rnacentral:rRNA from 1 species
GACGAACGCUGGCGGCGUGCUUAACACAUGCAAGUCGAACGGAAAGGCCCUGCUUUUGUGGGGUGCUCGAGUGGCGAACGGGUGAGUAACACGUGAGUAACCUGCCCUUGACUUUGGGAUAACUUCAGGAAACUGGGGCUAAUACCGGAUAGGAGCUCCUGCUGCAUGGUGGGGGUUGGAAAGUUUCGGCGGUGGGGGAUGGACUCGCGGCUUAUGAGCUUGUUGGUGGGGUAGUGGCUUACCAAGGAGUUGACGGGUAGCCGGCCGGAGAGGGUGACGGGCCACAACGGGAGUAAGGUGAGGCGCAGAAUCCUACGGGAGGAAGCAGUAGUGAAUAUUUCACAACGAGGGGAAGCCGGCUGCAGCAGCGCUGCGUGGGGGAGGUAGGCCGUCGGGGUGUAGUCCGCUUCCGCCCGUGGCGAAGCGUGAGUGACGGUAAUGGGUAAAGAAGCACCGGCUAACUACGUG